CAGCUGGAGGCUGCCAAGGGUCUGAAUGCCUCCCUGCGGGAACAGUUAUCGGAGACGAGGAAGCAGAGUGCUUCUGACACCAAGGACACCUUCAGACCCAGUGACCUCAAGAAGAGGCUAAAGGACCUCACUCACAACUUCAGAGCUGGCAAGGGUCCCCUCCCCCCACAGAGCAGUGACGACGUCCUAGGGAAGACCUUCCACGACCUCCACCACUACGUCCAGGACAAACUGAACAAG